UUUUUUUUUUUAUGUGCUCACUGGCGAUUUGCAUUCCCUUUUGUAAAAAUGUCUAUCCAGUUCUUCUGCCCAUUUUUAAUGUUUUUUUUUUAAUGUUGAGUUUUAUGAGCUAUUUAUAGAUGUUGGAUCUUAGCCCCUUAUCAGCCAUAUCAUUUGAAGAUAUCUUCUUCCAAUAAGUAGGUUGUCUUUUCGUUUUGUCAAUGGUUUCCUUUGCUGUGCAAAAUCUUUUAAGUUUAUUAGGUCCCAUUUGUUGAUUUUUGCUUUUGUUUCUUUUGCUUUAGGAGAGAGAUCCAAAAAAAAAUAUUGCUGCAAUUUAUGUUAGAGUGUUCUGCCUAUGUUUUCCUCUAAGAAUUAUGUAAUAUCCAGUCUUACAUUUAGGUCUUUAAUCCAUUUUGAGUUUAUUUAUGUUUGUAUGUUAGAGAAUGUUCUAAUUUCAUUCUUUUUACAAAUGGCUAUCCAGUUUUCCCAGCACCACUUAUUGAAGAGACUGUCCUUUCUCCAUUGUAUAUCCUUGCUCCCUUUGUUGUAGAUUAAUUGAUGAUAAGUGCAGGGGUUUAUUUCUGAGAUUCCUAUCCUCUUCCAUUGAUCUCUAUGUCUGUGCCAAUAGCAUACUGCUUUGAUUGCAAUAGCUUUGCAAUAUACUCUAACAUCAGAGAGCAUCAUUCCUCCAGCUCUGUUCUUUAUCAAGAUUGUUUUGGCUGUUUGGGGUCUUCUGUGUUUCCCUAGAGAUUUUGAAAUUAUUUGUACUGGUUCUGUGAAAAAUGCCUUUGGUAUUUUAAUAGGGAUUGCAUUGAAUCUGUAGAGUACCUUGCAUGGUAUGGUCAUUUUAACAAUAUUAAUUUCUCCAGUCCAAGAACACAGUAUAUCUUUCCAUCUGUUUGUGUCCUCUUCCAUGUCUUUCCACAUUGUCUUACAGUUUUCCAAGUACAACUAUUUUCCCUUCUUAGGUAGGUUGAUACCUAAGUAUCUUAUUCUUUUUGAUGUAAUGGGUCUGUUUCUUUAAUUUUUCUGAUAUUUUAUUAUUAGUAUAUAGAAAUUCAACAGAUUUCUUUAUAUUAAUUUUCUAUCCUGCAACUUUACCCAGAUUCAUUGAUGAGCUCUCAUAGUUUUCUGGUAGCAUCUUUAGGAUUUUCUAUUUAUGAUUAUGUAUGGUUUUUCUAUGCAGGAUUUUCAUGUCAUCUGCAAAUAAAAAUAAAAUAUAAAUUCUAUCUUUGAAAAAAUGAAUAUGAUGAAUAGACCUCUUGUAAGAAUGAUCAAGAAAAGGAAAGGCAGGGAGUUCUCCAGUGGCACAGCAAAUUAAGGAUCCGGCAUUGUCACUGCUUGGUGUGCAAUAUAUCCCUGGCCCAGGAACUUCUGUUUGGGCAUGGUCAAAAGGAAAAAAAAGGAAAGACUAAUUUAGAGUAUUAUAGGGAAAAGAGAUUUGAACUACAGAUAAGAUUGAAUGGGUGUACUCCUGUCCAGCAGUGUAAAUGAAUGAACUACAUAUACCUAAAAAUCUUAAAAAUAAAGCUGUGAAUUAUGAUGUUUCAAAAAGAUAUGUGCAGUAUUGUACAUUUGUAUAAAUGUUAAACAAUAUAUUUUAUGUGUGCAUAAAAAAUAGAAAAAAAUUUAAUUUAAAUUUUAAAUUUGAUUUUCCGAUUAACAAUUUUAUUUUAAAAUCUUAUUUAGAAUUAGAAUUCUCAUAAGAAUUAAAAUGCUAAUUUAUCCACUUUAAGAUACUAGUUUCCUCUGGGAGGAAAGAAGCUUGAAGGAAUUGGGCAGAGGUGAGGGUAGUAUAAAAGGGAUUUUAGCUGUACCUUUAAUGUUAUCUUUCCUUUGUGUCCCAGAGAAAAUGACAGAGAGAGAACUAAAGGCACAAAAAGAAAAAUAUCAUUAUCUUUUAGGCCUUAUAGGGAGUACAUGUUGGUGCCUUCUAUAUUAUUUUCUGUACUUUGGAUAUAUUUGAAUUGUUUUAUAAUUUAAAAUUAUUUUGAGGAGUUCCCAUUGUGGCUCAGCAGUAAUGAACCCAACUAGUAUCCAUGAGGUUACAGGUUCAAUCCCUGGCCUUGCUCACUGGGUUAAGGAUCCGUCAUUGCUGUGAGCUGUGGUGUAGUCUGCAGACACGGCUCAGAUCCUGCAUUGAUGUGGCUGUGGCAUAGCCCAGCAACUGCAGCUCCAAUUCCACCCCUCAUCUAGGAACCUCCAUAUGCCGCACCUAUGGCCAUAAAAAGCAAAAAAAAAAAAAAAAAUUAUUUUGAGGUUGAAUUUAGUCAGUCAUGCUAUAAACUUCACACAGCAAAUUGUGCUGUAUAGUUAUCAUUUUCCUGAAUAGCCUCACAAGUGACAUAGCUACCAGAUUUACAGACAACAGUCAAUACAUAUUCUAUCACAAAACUUCCACAGAUCAUGUCAGUGGUAGUUACAAUUCUUUACUGAUUCCUUAGAGGAUGCCAGACUUAACAGUAGGGACCCACGAAAUAACUGCAACAUGAUUCAUUGUCACGGUUAAAUUAUUGCUAAGGGUGAGUACAUGCCCUAUGGUACUGGCCUUGCAAAUGAGGUCAAAGAAAUGUCUGUACUUAAAAAGGAGGAUUCAGUGUGAUAGAAAUGCAGCCUUAGUUAAUUGCACUAUGUCCUUCCCCUAUCUUAACACUGGUCACUUUGGAUCAUCAUUACUGGUCUGUCUGUAUGCUUGGCUCACUGUGGGCACACAAUAAAUAAUUGCUGACUGACUGAUUAAUCUCCAGGAAAAGAAAUUCCACAAACAAAGGAACUGCACCUAUUUAGCCCCAGUUCCUAAUAUGGUAGACCUAGCAGGAGGUAGCACCAGCAAACAAUUACUGAAUGAAUGAAGAUGCUGCUACAUCCAUGAAAAUUUCUCCGAUUGUGACAGCCAGAAAGAUCUCUUCCUGUCAAAUUUAUAUCCUCCCAAAACAUUUAACAUCUUUUUUCUUAUAAAUACUUGUAUCUAUGUCUCUUUUUUCACUGCUACCUUUUAAGUUUUUUAAGAGCAGGGACUGUUCCUUUUUGUAAUUUAUUACAGAGUGAUGGAAAAUGGCAAGAAAAAAGUCUUAAAACCAAAAUUAAUGCAUAUUUACACUUUUCUAAGUUCAGAAGAAUGCAACUUCAAACCACUUAAAAUGAAUUCCACUUCCAUGGAUAACGGUAGUUGGAAACAAAAGAACGGAUAAUAAUAUGCUAUGCCAUACUGCCUACAGGGUUGGUAUGCCUGUUGCUCAGCUAUUUCUCAUCAAACACCAGCGAACAUAAACAGCUGCCAAACAUUUUCUGGGUCAUUUGUUCUGUUUGUAAACAGAAAGUGUACAAUAAUUAACAAGAUGUAAUCAUUUGAAAACUGGAUUUAUGCAGAAUGAAAGAAUUUUUUUUUAAGCACAGGGAUGUUAAUGCAAGUCUUGAGUGUUUAAUGACCCCAUUAAUUGAGAAAUAGAUAAUGGGAGAAAUUAAACAGAAGAGUUAAUGGCUUUGGAGCCAUGAAUCUAUUCUGGGAGUACUGCUAAUGUUUACUAGGUGAUUUUCUUCUGAAUUAAGACCUGAGGGUCAGUCUACUUUCACACGAUAGUUCUUGAAUCUUGCCAAUCAUAAGAAUCAUUUGGAAAGCUUUCAAAGACACAGACCCCUGGAUUCUCUUCAUACAUCCUUAAUCAGAAUCUUAGGGAUGGGCCUUUGGCAUAUGAAUUUUUAAAAAGCUGACCAGGUGAUUCUUUCAGUUUUUUAAUGAAAAGCUAGCCAGGUGUGGGCAUCAUUGUUUUAGAACAGGUUUUCUCAACCUUGGCACUGUAGACAGUUUGGGAUGACUAGUUGUUGUAGAGGCUGCCCUGUGCACAGGGCAUAUAGGAUGUUUAGCAGCAUCUCUGGCCUCUACCCACCAGAAGCACUCUCUCUUCCCCAAGUUGUAAAUAACAAAAUGUCUCCAAACAUAACCCGAUUUCUCAGGGAAGAGAGGUGUAAAUCACCAGCAUUUGAAAAGCUCUGCUUUACAAAAUACCCUAUCCUAUAGAACUUUCUGCAGUGAGGGACAUGCCCAGUACAGUAGCCAAAAACCCCAUGUGGCUAUUGAGUGCUUGAAAUGUGGCUGGUACCGAUGGGGACCUGAAUUUUAAAUGUUAUUUUAUUUUAAUUAAGUUAAUUGUAUAAGCUGCAUAUAACUAACGGCUGUCAUAUUGGACAGCACAGCUUUGCAAGAUUCAGAUAUGACUCUAGGCAGUGAAAUCUACACAGUUCUCCUGAAGUACUUCUGAGAUAUGCCAUGUAGGAACAUUUACAAGAAUAGAAAGUCUAGGAAGUUCCCUUGUGGUGCAUCAGGUUAAGGACUCAGCAUAGUUGCAACUGUGGUGCAGGCCGCAGAUGUGGCUUGAGUUCAAUCCCUGACCUGGGAACUUUCAUAUGCCAUGGGUGUGAAGAAAAAAAAAAUAGAAAAUCUAUCUACCUUCCUGUCUGAAUCAGAAAAGAAAAUCUCUUGAUGCUAUGGCCACUGGAAAGUUUACUUGCUGUUUUGCUUUCCAUGUUGCCCAAGAAAUAUUUUUAUUACCACUCCUGAUAUCCAGAUUAUCACAUUUAGAGCAGACUGACUGGAAAUAGCCCCUUUCAGUCCUGAUUUUGAUCUCCUUUUAACAUUUUCUUAGGAAACAUUCCCACUGUUGUCUGCUGUUCUCAAUUCUUAACAGGUUAAACAUGGAGUUACCAUAUGACCCAGCAAUUCUACUCCUAGAUAUAUAACCAAAGGGCAAAACAUAUGUCCACACAAACACUUGAACGUGAAUGUUCAUAGCUGC
rnacentral:lncRNA from 1 species